UACGUAGGUGACAAGCGUUGUCCGGAUUUACUGGGCGUAAAGCGCGCGUAGGCGGAUUGGCAAGUCAGAUGUGAAAGCCCCGGGCUCAACUUGGGAACUGCAUUUGAUACUGCCAGACUAGAGUACAGAAGAGGUGACUGGAAUUCCCAGUGUAGCGGUGAAAUGCGUAGAUAUUGGGAGGAACACCAGAUGCGAAGGCGGGUCACUGGGCUGAUACUGACGCUGAGGCGCGAAAGCCAGGGGAGCGAACGGG
rnacentral:rRNA from 1 species